AGCACCACCCUGGCCUCAGCCUCCCAGAGUGCCGGGAUUUCACAGUUUAAUCAUGAAAGGCUCUUCUGAUUGGCCGCCUCCAGGGACUAGUGCCUCUGCUCGGCUGGCCCUCUAGGAGUCGACAGCAAA